rnacentral:rRNA from 1 species
AUUGAACGCUGGCGGCAGGCCUAACACAUGCAAGUCGAACGAGUGGCGGACGGGUGAGUAAUGUCUGGGAAUCUGCCUGAUGGAGGGGGAUAACUACUGGAAACUGUAGCUAAUACCUCCUUCCAUCAGAUGUGUCCAGUGGGGAUUUGCUUGUUGGUGGGGUAACGGCGCACCAAGGCGACGAUCCCUACCUGGUCUGAGAGGAUGACCAGCCAAACUGGAAGUGAGACAAGGUCCAGAUUGCGACGGGAGGCAGCAGUGGGGAAUAUGGCACAAUGGGGGAAAGACUGAUGAAGCCAUGCCGCGUGUAUGAAGAAGGCCUGCGGGUUGUAAAGUACUUUAAGCGGGGAGGCGUUACCCGCAGAAGAAGCACCGGCUAACUCCGUGCCAGCAGACGCGGUAAUAC